rnacentral:rRNA from 1 species
CACCGAAGCUGCGGCAGCGACGCUGAUGCGUUGUUGGGUAGGGGAGCGUUCUGUAAGCCUGCGAAGGUGACCUGUGAGGGUUGCUGGAGGUAUCAGAAGUGCGAAUGCUGACAUAAGUAACGAUAAAGCGGGUGAAAAGCCCGCUCGCCGGAAGACCAAGGGUUCCUGUCCAACGUUAAUCGGGGCAGGGUGAGUCGACCCCUAAGGCGAGGCCGAAAGGCGUAGUUGAUGGGAAACGGGUUAAUAUUCCCGUACUUGGUGUUACUGCGAAGGGGGGACGGAGAAGGCUAUGUUGGCCGGGCGACGGUUGUCCCGGUUUAAGCGUGUAGGUGUGUGUUCCAGGUAAAUCCGGUUCACUUUAACACUGAGGCGUGAUGACGAGGCACUACGGUGCUGAAGCAACAAAUGCCCUGCUUCCAGGAAAAGCCUCUAAGCAUCAGGUAACAUCAAAUCGUACCCCAAACCGA